rnacentral:rRNA from 1 species
GAUGAACGCUGGCGGCGUGCCUAAUACAUGCAAGUCGAGCGAACAGACGAGGAGCUUGCUCCGCUGACGUUAGCGGCGGACGGGUGAGUAACACGUGGAUAACCUACCUAUAAGACUGGGAUAACUUCGGGAAACCGGAGCUAAUACCGGAUAAUAUAUUGAACCGCAUGGUUCAAUAGUGAAAGACGGUUUUGCUGUCACUUAUAGAUGGAUCCGCGCCGCAUUAGCUAGUUGGUAAGGUAACGGCUUACCAAGGCAACGAUGCGUAGCCGACCUGAGAGGGUGAUCGGCCACACUGGAACUGAGACACGGUCCAGACUCCUACGGGAGGUAGCAGUAGGGAAUCUUCCGCAAUGGGCGAAAGCCUGACGGAGCAACGCCGCGUGAGUGAUGAAGGUCUUCGGAUCGUAAAACUCUGUUAUUAGGGAGGAACAAAUGUGUAAGUAACUAUGCACGUCUUGACGGUACCUAAUCAGAAAGCCACGGCUAACUACGUG